GAUGAACGCUGGCGGCGUGCCUAAUACAUGCAAGUAGAACGCUGAAGGAGGAGCUUGCUCUUCUGGAUGAGUUGCGAACGGGUGAGUAACGCGUAGGUAACCUGCCUGGUAGCGGGGGAUAACUAUUGGAAACGAUAGCUAAUACCGCAUGACAACAGUUAUUGCAUGAUAACUGUUUAAAAGGGGCAACUGCUCCACUACCAGAUGGACCUGCGUUGUAUUAGCUAGUUGGUGAGGUAACGGCUCACCAAGGCGACGAUACAUAGCCGACCUGAGAGGGGGGUCGGCCACACUGAGACUGAGACACGGCCCAGACGCCUACGGGAGGCAGCAGUAGGGAAUCUUCGGCAAUGGACGGAAGUCUGACCGAGCAACGCCGCGUGAGUGAAGAAGGUUUUCGGAUCGUAAAGCUCUGUUGUAAGAGAAGAACGAGUGUGAGAGUGGAAAGUUCACACUGUGACGGUAUCUUACCAGAAAGGGACGGCUAACUACGUG
rnacentral:rRNA from 1 species